GGGCCUAACACAUGCAAGUCGAGCGAGAAAGCACUUCGGUGUGAGUAGAGCGGCGGACGGGUGAGUAACGCGUAGGAAUCUACCUGGUAGUGGGGGACAACUCGGGGAAACUCGAGCUAAUACCGCAUACGCCCUUCGGGGGAAAGCGGGGGAUCUUCGGACCUCGCGCUAUUGGAUGAGCCUGCGUCGGAUUAGCUUGUUGGUGAGGUAAAGGCUCACCAAGGCGACGAUCCGUAGCUGGUCUGAGAGGAUGAUCAGCCACACUGGGACUGAGACACGGCCCAGACUCCUACGGGAGGCAGCAGUGGGGAAUAUUGCGCAAUGGGGGCAACCCUGACGCAGCCAUGCCGCGUGUGUGAAGAAGGCCCUAGGGUUGUAAAGCACUUUCAAUAGGGAGAAAAGGCUCACGGUUAAUACCCGUGAGAGUUGAUGUUACCUAUAGAAGAAGCACCGGCUAACUCCGUGCCAGCAGCCGCGGUAAUACGGAGGGUGCGAGCGUUAAUCGGAAUUACUGGGCGUAAAGCGCGCGUAGGCGGUCUGUUAAGUCAGCUGUGAAAGCCCCGGGCUUAACCUGGGAACUGCAGUUGAUACUGGCA
rnacentral:rRNA from 1 species